UAGGCCUCAGUGCAUGAUGCUGGACAAGGAUUUGUGUACUGCUUGAGGACAAGGGGUACUCGGGUCCCCAGGGAAGACCGUCCUUGUAUCGCAGCCAUUUCUUCCAAGAGGCAAAGAGGCAAUGCAACUUGAUAGUUGUGUCAUCCUGUGAAAAGAGGUUCUCCUGUGAAAAGAAAUCCUCAAGCUGCCGCUACAAUGGAGAUGGUUUGUGGCUGAGGGUCAUGGAAUUACAGGUAUGGUGGAACUGGGGUGAGUUGAUCUGUGACUACACAGGCUCUGCCACUCACAAAUCUUGUGUUUCAGUGGCAGUGCAGUUAAUGGCUGGCUGAGUCUGCUGAGUGAACUUUUGGAGGGGCAGGAUUUCAUCCCCCUUCUAACCAGCAGUCCCUUCACAGGAGACUUCUGUGGCAGGUAAGAGCUUAUCUCUUUGC
rnacentral:lncRNA from 1 species